rnacentral:rRNA from 1 species
UCGGGAAUUUUGGGCAAUGGGCGAAAGCCUGACCCAGCAACGCCGCGUGAAGGAUGAAGUAUUUCGGUAUGUAAACUUCGAAAGAAUAGGAAGAAUAAAUGACGGUACUAUUUAUAAGGUCCGGCUAACUACGUGCCAGCAGCCGCGGUAAUACGUAGGGACCAAGCGUUGUCCGGAUUUACUGGGCGUAAAGGGCGCGUAGGCGGCAAUUCAAGUCAUCUGUGAAAUCUCCGGGCUUAACUCGGAACGGUCAGAUGAUACUGCUUUGCUAGAGUGCAGAAGGGGCAAUCGGAAUUCUUGGUGUAGCGGUGAAAUGCGUAGAUAUCAAGAGGAACACCUGAGGUGAAGACGGGUUGCUGGGCUGACACUGACGCUGAGGCGCGAAAGCCAGGGGAGCAAACGGGAUUAGAUACCCCAGUAGUCCCUGAGCGGGCUGGCAAGGCGCAU